rnacentral:rRNA from 1 species
UGCUCGAAAGGGUAGCUAAUACGGGAUAUUCUGACUAGCCCGCAUGGGUUGGUUUGGAAAGGUUGUUUUUCUGGUAAGGGAUGGGCUCGCGGCCUAUCAGCUUGUUGGUGGGGUGAUGGCCUACCAAGGCUUUGACGGGUAGCCGGCCUGAGAGGGUGGACGGUCACACUGGGACUGAGAUACGGCCCAGACUCCUACGGGAGGCAGCAGUGGGGAAUAUUGCACAAUGGGCGCAAGCCUGAUGCAGCGACGCCGCGUGAGGGAUGAAGGCCUUCGGGUUGUAAACCUCUUUCGUCAGGGAACAAGGCACUGUCUUUUUGGUGGUGUUGAGGGUACCUGGAUAAGAAGCGCCGGCUAACUACGUGCCAGCAGCCGCGGUAAUACGUAGGGCGCAAGCGUUGUCCGGAAUUAUUGGGCGUAAAGAGCUCGUAGGCGGCUGGUCGCGUCUGUCGUGAAAUCCUCUGGCUUAACUGGGGGCGUGCGGUGGGUACGGGCUGACUUGAGUGCGGUAGGGGAGACUGGAACUCCUGGUGU